CCUACGGGGGACAGCAGUGAGGAAUAUUGGUCAAUGGGCGCGAGCCUGAACCAGCCAAGUCGCGUGAGGGAAGACGGUCCUAUGGAUUGUAAACCUCUUUUGUCGGGGAGCAAAAGACGCCACGCGUGGCGUUCCGAGAGUACCCGAAGAAAAAGCAUCGGCUAACUCCGUGCCAGCAGCCGCGGUAAUACGGAGGAUGCGAGCGUUAUCCGGAUUUAUUGGGUUUAAAGGGUGCGCAGGCGGAAGAUCAAGUCAGCGGUAAAAUUGAGAGGCUCAACCUCUUCGAGCCGUUGAAACUGGGUGUCUUGAGUGAGCGAGAGGUAUGCGGAAUGCGUGGUGUAGCGGUGAAAUGCAUAGAUAUCGCGCAGAACUCCGAUUGCGAAGGCAGCGUACCGGCGCUCAACUGACGCUCAUGCACGAAAGUGUGGGUAUCGAACAGGAUUAGAUACCCUUGUAGUC
rnacentral:rRNA from 1 species